rnacentral:rRNA from 1 species
CUAGCUUGCUAGUUGCUGACGAGUGGCGGACGGGUGAGUAACGCGUAGGAAUCUACCGAGUAGUGGGGGACAACAGUUGGAAACGACUGCUAAUACCGCAUAAUCCCUGAGGGGGAAAGGAGGGGAUCUGUUUACAGACCUUUCGCUAUUUGAUGAGCCUGCGUGAGAUUAGCUAGUCGGUGAGGUAAUGGCUCACCAAGGCGACGAUCUCUAGCUGGUCUGAGAGGAUGAUCAGCCACACUGGAACUGAGACACGGUCCAGACUCCUACGGGAGGCAGCAGUGGGGAAUAUUGCACAAUGGGGGAAACCCUGAUGCAGCCAUGCCGCGUGUGUGAAGAAGGCCUUCGGGUUGUAAAGCACUUUCAGCGAGGAGGAAAGGAGUAUGUUUAAUAAACGUGCUCUGUGACGUUACUCGCAGAAGAAGCACCGGCUAACUCCGUGCCAGCAGCCGCGGUAAUACGGAGGGUGCAAGC